rnacentral:rRNA from 1 species
CCUACUGGCGGCAGCAGUGGGGAAUAUUGCGCAAUGGGCGAAAGCCUGACGCCGCGACGCAGCGUGAGGGAUGCAGUUCUUCGGAUCGUACACCUCUGUCAGCAGGGAAGAACGGUCACUGUGCUAAUCAGCAGUGCAUUGACGGUACCUGCAAAGGAAGCACCGUCUAACUCCGUGUCCGCAGCUGCGGUAAUACGGAGGGUGCGAGCGUUAAUCGGAUUUACUGGGCGUAAAGCGCUCGUAGGCGUGAUGUCAAGUCAAGGGUGACAUCCCCGCGCUCAACGUGGGAACGGCCUUUGAAACUGGAAAACUGGAGUGUGUGAGAGGAUAGUGGAAUUCCAGGUGUAGGAGUGAAAUCCGUAGAUAUCUGGAGGAACAUCAGUGGCGAAGGCGACUAUCUGGCACAUAACUGACGCUGAGGAGCGAAAGCGUGGGUAGCAAACAGGAUUAGAUACCCGAGUAGUC